GCUGACACAGUGCAGCGCAUUGCGGCUGAACUCAAAUGCCACCCAACGGAUGAGAGGGUGGCUCUCCACCUAGAUGAGGAAGAUAAGCUGAGGCACUUCAGGGAGUGCUUUUAUAUUCCCAAAAUACAGGAUCUGCCUCCAGAUGGUGCCUGAGAUGUUAUCAGAGAAAGGGGUCAAAAAUAUUUUUAAUCAGCUUUUGUACUUAUGUUCAACAUUGUCCUAAAGAGCACAGCUGAAAAAUAAACAAGCAAAAGAAAGGAGGAAGAGAGAGAGAGAAGGAAAGAAAAGAAAGAAGGGAGGAAAAAAGGAAGAUAUAAGAAAGAAAUAAA
rnacentral:lncRNA from 1 species